rnacentral:lncRNA from 1 species
GGGGCAUGGGGAGAGCGCCUGGUGCAAACCGCGCCGGGCACCGCUCUUCAUUAAGUGAUCGCUGCUAUCAAACACGCUCUGGAUGUCUUGAAGGGGAGGGGGGGCGGGGAGAGGCGGAGGGAAGAGGGGGAAAUCCCUUUUAGUUUUGCGAUUAGGCUGCCAGGCUUUGUAAAGGGCUUAAAAACAAAGUCUUGCUCAGUCUUUUGUAGGAGAGAUCCAGAUGUUAUGUAGAUUUCUGUUUGCGUGUUCGUUUUGAGCGGAUCCGGCGGUGAGCGCAGUAUUUACGUGUGUGUGUUGCUGGACUUUACCGUUUAUCGACGUUGCGCUUGUGGAAUGUAUGCUGGAGUAUUAGCUCGAGGAUCUCCUCCAAGAUUAAAGCUAGUCCUAAGAGCAACCGAAUUGCUGUGACUGACUUUCACGGGACUGUAAAGAGAGAUCGGCUCAAAAGUCCAAAGAGAAAUGAGGUGUCCGGUAUGGAAGUGCAUCUCAGUCAACCGCCAGCUCCUUUUGCCGAGGCUGGAAAUGGUUUUAACAGGCGGUAAAAUUUCAUCUUGUGGUGUCAAAUUGGGGUCAGUUUGGGGUUAGCGCUCUCAGUGUCCGAGCAGGAGCUGUCCAGCUGUGUGGGGAUUCAUUAAGGGCAAAAGAUCCGUUUCAAGAAAAACAAUACAAAGACAAUCAGAGGGCUAAAGAUCCUCUUCAAAUCGCAUUUUACAAGUGCACCAGAACAAAUAUGGAUGCUGAAACCUAUUCCCUUCAAACUCCCAAAUCGGCUUCUUAGCCCUUGGAGGGAGCGAGAGAGAAAAUCCUCUAAAGUUAAGAAGAGUCUGUUUUCAAUCAGCCUUUCCGAAGUGUGGCAUCUUAGUCCUUUGCUGGCUUUGAGACAUGCCUCUCUUGCUUGCUCGUUACAUCUCUCCCUCCCUCCCUCUCUCUCUCUUUUUCCACAGCCUUGCAAAAGCGGAUGGCACAACAGGUGCAUGUUGGAGCAGCCAUAAGGGUGAAGCUCAACAGUGACCUUUCUUUAGAAGAUGUCAUGAUUGCAGAAGUGGAAAGUGGAUUGGAAAAAAGUGGAUUAGAAAGAAGAACUAGAGGUAUCUCUCUGGGCUGAAGAAGUAGGUGGCGUGGAAAGGAUGAUCAAAGUAUUCACUAGACAAAUACAAAUUUAGAAAAGGGUUCUGGGCUGUGUUUGGAUCAAAGAAUAUACUGAGGUCUAACAGCUUUUCAUUUCUGAUCUACUUGAUCUAUCAUAUUGUUCUGUAUCAAUUUUUAAAAAAAAUCCUUUCCUUUGUAAUAAUAGCUUUUCAAAUUAAUAGAUGUGCAUAAAUGAAGAAAUUAAGUUUUAUUUUAAAGUGCAAUAUUCCAAAGACACCACUGUCUCCAUACAAGGCUCACAAACAUGUAGUAUCAGCAUUUGGAUAAACUACUAUAAAAUUUCUUUCAACAGCUCCUCUUCACAAAAAGUACUCUCCAAAAAUAAAAGCUUGUAAUUACUAGAAACUUAAAAUGCA